rnacentral:rRNA from 1 species
GGAUCCAGACUUUGAUCAUGGCUCAGGACGAACGCUGGCGGCGUGCUUAACACAUGCAAGUCGUACGAGGCAGAUUUUCAUCACUGAACUUUAAAGAGCGGACUGAUGAGAGGCGUCGUGAAUGCGAAGCAUUCACCACACUUUUAUAAAGUGCUUAACUUUAAGGCUGAGUGAUGAAAAGAUGCCGAGUGGCAAACGGGUGAGUAACGCGUAGACAACCUGCCGUAAAGAUGGGGACAACAGUUCGAAAGGACUGCUAAUACCGAAUGUUGUAGAGUUUUCGCAUGGGAAUCCUACUAAAGGUGGCCUCUACUUGUAAGCUAUCGCUUUACGAUGGGUCUGCGUCUGAUUAGCUAGUUGGUGGGGUAACGGCCUACCAAGGCGACGAUCAGUAGCCGGUCUGAGAGGAUGAACGGCCACAUUGGAACUGAGACACGGUCCAGACUCCUACGGGAGGCAGCAGUGGGGAAUCUUCCGCAAUGGGCGCAAGCCUGACGGAGCAACGCCGCGUGAGUGAAGAAGGGUUUCGACUCGUAAAGCUCUGUUGUCGGGGACGAAUGUCAGGACUCAAAAUAUGGGUUCUGAAUGACGGUACCUGACGAGGAAGCCACGGCUAACUACGUGCCAGCAGCCGCGGUAAUACGUAGGUGGCGAGCGUUGUCCGGAAUUAUUGGGCGUAAAGGGAGCGCAGGCGGGAAGGUAAGUCUAUCUUAAAAGUGCGGGGCUCAACCCCGUGAGGGGAUGGAAACUAUCUUUCUUGAGUGCAGGAGAGGAAAGCGGAAUUCCUAGUGUAGCGGUGAGAUGCGUAGAUAUUAGGAGGAACACCAGUGGCGAAGGCGGCUUUCUGGACUGUAACUGACGCUGAGGCUCGAAAGCGUGGGGAGCGAACAGGAUUAGAUACCCUGGUAGUCCACGCCGUAAACGAUGAAUGCUAGGUGUAGGAGGUAUCGACCCCUUCUGUGCCGGAGUUAACGCAAUAAGCAUUCCGCCUGGGGAGUACGGCCGCAAGGCUGCAACUAA